rnacentral:rRNA from 1 species
UGAGAUUUCCCAUUACGCAAGUAAGUAAGAUCCCUCAAAGACGAUGAGGUAGAUAGGUUCGGGGUGGAAGCGUGGCGACACGUGCAGCUGACGAAUACUAAUCGAUCGAGGACUUAACCAAA